rnacentral:tRNA from 1 species
CAUUAGAUGACUGAAUGCAAGCAAUGGUCUCUUAAACCAGAUAAUAGUAGAUUAGCACCUACUUCUAAUGA